rnacentral:rRNA from 1 species
CCUACGGGAGGCUGCAGUGGGGAAUAUUGGACAAUGGGGGGAACCCUGAUCCAGCCAUGCCGCGUGUGUGAAGAAGGCCCUCGGGUUGUAAAGCACUUUCAGUGAGGAAGAACGCCUGGUGGUUAAUACCCAUCAGGAAAGACAUCACUCACAGAAGAAGCACCGGCUAACUCCGUGCCAGCAGCCGCGGUAAUACGGAGGGUGCGAGCGUUAAUCGGAAUUACUGGGCGUAAAGCGCGCGUAGGUGGCUUGAUAAGCCGGUUGUGAAAGCCCCGGGCUCAACCUGGGAACGGCAUCCGGAACUGUCAAGCUAGAGUGCAGGAGAGGAAGGUAGAAUUCCCGGUGUAGCGGUGAAAUGCGUAGAGAUCGGGAGGAAUACCAGUGGCGAAGGUGGCCUUCUGGACUGACACUGACACUGAGGUGCGAAAGCGUGGGUAGCAAACAGGAUUAGAUACCCCUGUAGUC